rnacentral:rRNA from 1 species
GAUGAACGCUGGCGGCGUGCCUAAUACAUGCAAGUCGAGCGAACAGAUGAGGAGCUUGCUCCUCUGACGUUAGCGGCGGACGGGUGAGUAACACGUGGAUAACCUACCUAUAAGACUGGGAUAACUUCGGGAAACCGGAGCUAAUACCGGAUAAUAUAUUGAACCGCAUGGUUCAAUAGUGAAAGACGGUUUUGCUGUCACUUAUAGAUGGAUCCGCGCCGCAUUAGCUAGUUGGUAAGGUAACGGCUUACCAAGGCAACGAUGCGUAGCCGACCUGAGAGGGUGAUCGGCCACACUGGAACUGAGACACGGUCCAGACUCCUACGGGAGGCAGCAGUAGGGAAUCUUCCGCAAUGGGCGAAAGCCUGACGGAGUAACGCCGCGUGAGUGAUGAAGGUCUUCGGAUCGUAAAACUCUGUUAUUAGGGAAGAACAAAUGUGUAAGUACCUAUGCACGUCUUGACGGUACCUAAUCAGAAAGCCACGGCUAACUACGUG